AUACGGAGGGGGCAAGCGUUAUUCGGAAUUAUUGGGCGUAAAGGGCGCGUAGGCGGCCUGACAAGUCAAAGGUGAAAUCCCUCGGCCUAACCGAGGAACUGCCUUUGAAACUGUUUGAACUAGAGGCCGGGAGAGGGUAGUGGAAUUCCCAGUGUAGAGGUGAAAUGCGUAGAUAUCGGAAGGAACACCAGUGGCGAAGGCGACUUCCUGGGCCAAUACUGACGCUGAGGUGCGAAAGCGUGGGGAGCAAACAGGAUUAGAAACCCCAGUAGUCC
rnacentral:rRNA from 1 species